UUGAUGACACCUAUUUAAAAUUGUCAUUUUAGUUUUCAAUUUAUUUUUACGCAUUUCUUAUUAUAGAACAAUUGACAUUUGAACGGAAGAAAUUCAACAUUUCUGGUUGCUACAACUCAGAGGCAAGCUUCUCAAAGCAACAAGGAAACAAUUUGCCUGUGGAUGGAAAUGAGUUGUCUUCAAGAGUUGAAAAUAUGGAAAGGAAGAUGGACAGCUUUUUGAAAGAAAAUAUAGCUCAAAAAAGCAAAGGAAUGGCCCAACAAAAAACCGUCCGCGAAUGUAAGGUGCUAAUUCGGAAGGUUCACCAAUCAGUAUGCCGACUGAGUGGCGAAGAUAUCGACAACACACAAACAGAAAUUGCUUCCACCCUACCACUAACAACACUAGCGGCAGCUUUGGAAAUGGAAGAAAAACUGAAAUGCAACGUUUGUUUUAAGGAUGAGAGGUAGUUCCGACAGUAUAUAUGUUGUGUUUCGGCAUCUGUACASUGACGAAUUCCUGAGUUUGUGUAACUGGGACGGUAGGGGAGGCAAGCAACCGCUAUCGAAAUUUCUGUUGUCCAACAUAUUAUAUGAUUCUCUCAUCACCUGUGGACUUGCGAAUUUCGAGCAACAAAUGCGGAAGUCACUGUUCUAACUGGGAAGCAAUACAAAUUGUAUUUGCUUUGCAAGCUACAAUUACAUAGAGUGAGAAGUAUGCUAGAGUAGUGAACUGUGCUUGGAGUACUUCCGGAUAUCUAUGGAGCUGUUGAUUAUUGGUACACUCAAUUUGCUUUGCUGCAUUAAGAUAAUGAAAACUCGUUAAUGAAACUUAAAUUUUUA